rnacentral:rRNA from 1 species
UACGUAGGUGGCAAGCGUUGUCCGGAAUUAUUGGGCGUAAAGCGCGCGCAGGCGGUCCUUUAAGUCUGAUGUGAAAGCCCACGGCUCAACCGUGGAGGGUCAUUGGAAACUGGGGGACUUGAGUGCAGGAGAGAAGAGUGGAAUUCCACGUGUAGCGGUGAAAUGCGUAGAGAUGUGGAGGAACACCAGUGGCGAAGGCGAGUCCCUGGACGACUCCUGACACUGAGGCACGAAAGCUAGGGGAGCAAACAGG